rnacentral:rRNA from 1 species
GUGGGGAAUAUUGCACAAUGGGCGGAAGCCUGAUGCAGCGACGCCGCGUGGGGGAUGACGGCCUUCGGGUUGUAAACUCCUUUCGACAGGGACGAAGCGCAAGUGACGGUACCUGUAUAAGAAGCACCGGCUAACUACGUGCCAGCAGCCGCGGUAAUACGUAGGGUGCGAGCGUUGUCCGGAAUUACUGGGCGUAAAGAGCUCGUAGGUGGUUUGUCGCGUCGUCUGUGAAAUUCCGGGGCUUAACUCCGGGCGUGCAGGCGAUACGGGCAUAACUUGAGUGCUGUAGGGGAGACUGGAAUUCCUGGUGUAGCGGUGAAAUGCGCAGAUAUCAGGAGGAACACCGAUGGCGAAGGCAGGUCUCUGGGCAGUUACUGACGCUGAGGAGCGAAAGCAUGGGUAGCGAACAGGAUUAGAUACCCUUGUAGUCC